rnacentral:misc_RNA from 1 species
GAAAUGCGAUAAGUAAUGUGAAUUGCAGAAUUCAGUGAAUCAUCGAAUCUUUGAACGCACCUUGCGCUCCUUGGUAUUCCUUGGAGCAUGCCUGUUUGAGUAUCAUUAAAUCUUCAAAGUAAAUCUUUUGUUAACUCAAUUGGUUUCUACUUUGGUAUUGGAGGUCUUUGCAGCUUCACACCUGCUACUCUUUGUUCAUUAGCUGGAUCUCAGUGUUAUGCUUGGUUCCACUCGGCGUGAUAAGUUAUCUAUCGCUGAGGACACUGUAAAAGGUGGCCAAGGUAAAUGCAGAUGAACCGCUUCUAAUAGUCCAUUGACUUGGACAAUACUUUUAUGAUCUGAUCUCAAAUCAGGUAGGACUACCCGCUGAACUUAAGC